rnacentral:rRNA from 1 species
UACGUAGGGGGCAAGCGUUAUCCGGAUUUACUGGGUGUAAAGGGAGCGUAGACGGCGAUGCAAGCCAGAUGUGAAAGCCCGGGGCUCAACCCCGGGACUGCAUUUGGAACUGUAUAGCUAGAGUGUAGGAGGGGCAGGCGGAAUUCCUAGUGUAGCGGUGAAAUGCGUAGAUAUUAGGAGGAACACCAGUGGCGAAGGCGGCCUGCUGGACUGCAACUGACGUUGAGGCUCGAAGGCGUGGGGAGCAAACAGG